rnacentral:lncRNA from 1 species
GAACAAGAGGAGGACCUCGUCCUGACAUGAGCAAAGUCAAAGGCCCGAUUCUUUUAGAUCGGAUGGGGGGAGAGGCCUUACAGCAUCCUAACGCGCCCCCACAGCCAUGUCCGGAACAGGAGGAGAACCUCGUCCUGACAUGAGCAAAGUCAAAGGCCCGAUUCUUUUAGAUCGGAUGGGGGGAGAGGCCUUACAGCGCCCUAACGUGCCCCCACGGCCAUGUCAGGA